AAGCUAUUUAACAUAUGAUUCCAAAGAAUUAAUCCCUAAAAGCACACAUCAGUGCUGCCACCUAGGGACUCUAAGCUUCCUCGAGAUCAGCUGCCCCACGUCAUUGAGCACUCUUGUGAUCGCUCCUCGGACCCAUGGCAUUCCUAAAUUUGUGCCUUAAUAGACUCGAAAGCUAGGGCUCAUCAAGCUUAAAGUAGUCCUCAUAGCCCUCG
rnacentral:lncRNA from 1 species